rnacentral:rRNA from 1 species
GCAUGGUUGUCGUCAGCUCGUGUCGUGAGAUGUUGGGUUAAGUCCCGCAACGAGCGCAACCCUCGACCUUAGUUGCCAGCAUUCAGUUGGGCACUCUAAGGUGACUGCCGGCUAAAAGUCGGAGGAAGGUGGGGAUGACGUCAAAUCAUCAUGCCCCUUAUGACCUGGGCUACACACGUGCUACAAUGGGCGGUACAAAGGGUCGCGAACCCGCGAGGGGGAGCCAAUCCCAAAAAGCCGCUCUCAGUUCGGAUUGCAGGCUGCAACUCGCCUGCAUGAAGCCGGAAUCGCUAGUAAUCGCGGAUCAGCAUGCCGCGGUGAAUACGUUCCCGGGCCUU